rnacentral:rRNA from 1 species
AACGAACGCUGGCGGCAGGCUUAACACAUGCAAGUCGAACGCUCCGCAAGGAGAGGGGCAGCCGGGUGAGUAACACGUGGGAACGUACCCUUUACUACGGAACAACUCCGGGAAACUGGAGCUAAUACCGUAUGUGCCCUUCUGGGGGAAGCUUUAUCGGUAAAGGAUCGGCCCGCGUUGGAGUAGCUAGUUGGUGGGGUAAAGGCCUACCAAGGCGACGAUCCAAAGCUGGUCUGAGAGGACGAUCAGCCACAUUGGGACUGAGACACGGCCCAAACUCCUACGGGAGGCAGCAGUGGGGAAUAUUGGACAAUGGGCGCAAGCCUGAUCCAGCCAUGCCGCGUGUGUGAUGAAGGCCUUAGGGUUGUAAAGCACUUUCACCGGAGAAGAUAAUGACGGUAUCCGGAGAAGAAGCCCCGGCUAACUUCGUGCCAGCCGCCGCCGUAA